UACAUGGGGUGCAAACGUUGCUCGGAAUUACUGGGCGUAAAGGGCGCGUAGGCGGUUCGAUAAGUCGGGUGUGAAACCUCCAGGCUCAACCUGGAGACGCCACCCGAUACUGUCGUGACUAGAGUCCAGUAGGGGAGCGUGGAAUUCCUGGUGUAGCGGUGAAAUGCGCAGAUAUCAGGAGGAACACCAGCGGCGAAGGCGGCGCUCUGGGCUGGCACUGACGCUGAGGAGCGAAAGCGUGGGUAGCGAACAGG
rnacentral:rRNA from 1 species